UUUAGACCAAAACACACGACUCAAUUUACCGAUUUCCCGUAGAUGACGAUCUUCGCCGGUCCUCGAUCGAUAGGAAUCCUCCAAUCGACCUUGCUGCAACUCCUCGCAGCGUCAACGCCUCAAUUCCUCGAAGCGUCCACCGAAUCCUCGGCUUCACGCGAGAUCCACGCGUCGAACCUCCUUCCGGAGCUUGUAGAAUCGAAGAUUU
rnacentral:lncRNA from 1 species